AGUGAGAGUUCGGCCUUAUCAUCUGAGGAUUCUGCUACAAGGUCAGGAAUGUAACAUUGCAUCACUUUGGCCCAAGACAAAGCUAUCUUCAUCGCCUGACCCUCUCGACUGUGAAGUGCACUCCACUGUAUCCUGGCUUUGAAAUGACUUGUCACAAUUCAUCUUAAAUUUAUUAUUAAAAUCCUUUUCAACUUU